AAACAGACCCUCCACAGUCUCUCUCUCUCUCUCUUCUCUCUGCUUACCCUCCAUCGAACCCACUUUCGCUCACCUUCUUUCUUCAUUUCUGACUUCGCGCCGAUCUCUUCCUCGCUAUCUUCGUCGACGUUAUGCUGGACAUGGGCAUCUCUCUGCCGCCUGAAGU